GGCCCGUUGGUCAAGCGGUUAAGACACCGCCCUUUCACGGCGGUAUCACGGGUUCGAGUCCCGUACGGGUCACCA
rnacentral:tRNA from 1 species